GCCGGGAUAGCUCAGCCGGUCAGAGUGCCAGACUCAUAAUCUGGAGGUCGUGGGAUCAAAACCCACUCCCGGCA
rnacentral:tRNA from 1 species